GAUGAACGCUAGCUACAGGCUUAACACAUGCAAGUCGAGGGACCGGCGCACGGGAGAGUAACGCGUAUCCAACCUGCCCAUAAGUAGGGUAUAACCCGCACAAGUUCGGACUCAUCCCCUAUGCUUAUGGAUGGGCAUGCGUCCGAUUAGCUUGUUGGUGAGGUAACGGCUAACCAAGGCUUCGAUCAGUAGGGGUUCUGGGAGGAAGGCCCCCCAAAUAGGAACUGAGGCACGGUCCGAACUCCUACGGGAGGCAGCAGUGAGGAAUAUUGGUCAAUGGGCGAGAGCCGGAACCGGCCAAGUAGCGUGCAGGAUGACGGCCUAUGGGUUGUAAACUGCUUUUAUGCGGGGAUAGGUACCGCAUGAAUAAGGACCGGCUAAUUCCGUGCCAGCAGCCGCGGUAAUUC
rnacentral:rRNA from 1 species